rnacentral:rRNA from 1 species
UACAGAGGUGGCAAGCGUUGUCCGGAUUUACUGGGUAUAAAGGGUGCGUAGGCGGACCUAUAAGUCGAGCGUUAAAGAUCUUCGCUUAACGAAGAAAAUGCGCUCGAUACUGUCGGUCUAGAGUGUUAGAGAGGAAACUGGAAUUUCCGGUGUAGCGGUGGAAUGUGUAGAGAUCGGAAGGAACACCAGUGGCGAAGGCAGGUUUCUGGCUAACAACUGACGCUGAGGCACGAAAGCGCGGGUAGCAAACAGG